UGUGUGUGUGUGUGUGUGUGUGUGUGUGAGUGAGAGAGAGAGAGAGAGUGUGGGUAGGUGUGCCUGUGUGCACGUAUGUACAUGUGCGUGCAGGUGGGGAGCCUACGUGCAUAUAUGUGAGCCUGUGUGCCUGUGUGUGAGUGUGGCUGGCCAUAAAUGUGUGCACGUGUGUAUAUGUGUGCAUAUAUAUGCUUGUCGGCUGCAGGCAUGUGUAUGUGUGAGUGUGUGAGCCUGGGUGUGAGUGUGGGGUGGGUGUGAGCGCAUGUGUGCGUUUCUACGUUCACAGAAGAUAAGCUGGAAAGUGCCCACUGAAUCCAGCUGAACUGGCUUGAACUUGGACGAGCUGGAAUUGAAUCAAAGGCAUCCCCAGAGCUUUGGGAGAGGAAAUGAACCGAAACCUCUGUUUCCAGUUAGGGCGGAAUUAACUCCAUAAUUGGGUCUGGCAGAGUGACUCUGCGAGCUAGGAAUUUUGAUAGAUGGUGUUUUGUGAGCGAAGCGAGGCUGAAGUUUCGACAUAAAUAACACACUUGUUCCCAAUUUCAGGGCAAGAGUUAAAUUCUAAUCCAAGGAUGUCUUCAAUGCCCUUUUUUCAUUCUCUUCCUCUUGAGUUGAGAAAUCACGUGCAGUCAAGUAACAAGGGAGGGAUUUCUCAACUGAUGCUCCCAAGGCAGAGAUGAAAGAGAAAACCACGGAUCGUGAGCAGAAGGGGUGGGGACCCGGCCCGAGGGGCCCGUGCAGAGCUCUCAGAGGGUUAUCGUGUGUGGCCGCAGCUCCAGCCACACGGGGCUUCCCAAGCAGCCUCUGCAAGGGCCACUCGCAGACCCGCCCUGGCUGCAGCCCUCACGCCCUGGGAUCCCGGUCCCUCUGGGGGCCCAGCAAGGCAUCAGAAUCAAAGGCAUCACAGCACAUCAGCUGUCCCUCUUGAGCCUCUCUGUGAGUGAGACCAGAGGGCGUCACAACAGCCCACGCCGGCCUGACACCGUCCCGACUCCAGGACCGACUCUGCGCUCUGGAACAUGCUUCUCCUCUUCUGUGGCUGAGGAAAGAUCAUGUAGGCCCUAUCUGAGUGCAUUUUUGUGGUUCUUAUCCUCAGAAACUCUCUCUUUUGAUGCUCUCACCUUUCUUUUGACUGCCCGGCAAAAGUUCUGCCUAAAUGAAGGCUGUGACCCAUUUGUCCACAAUGAGAUAAAUAUUUAUCCUGUCUGUAAAUAUUUCCUUUUUCUUUUCUUUCCCUUUUCCUUUUGCUUCUGCUCUUGGGUUCUGUUCAUUGAAAGAUUCGUAUUUCAUUUUUAAAAGUCAAAUCUAUGACCCUGUAGUUUUUUCCAUGGAUUCAUACGUAGAAAACAUCCUUCUGAGAUGAGUUAUAUUUCUACUUACACAUUCGUCGACAUCUUUAUAUUUUUCUUUUCUAUAUUUAACGCUUUAACCCAGCCAGAAUUUUUUUGUAUAUAUUUUCUCUCAAGUGAGAAUCUAGGCUGUGUUUGUUUGUUGCUUGGCUAUGUUUUUGCAAAUAUUAGCUGAUGUCCUAGCAUUAUCUAUUAAAUGAAAAUGUCAUUUCUCGCAUGAGUUUAACACGCCUAUUUUAUCACAUAAUAAAUGUUUUAUCUAAGGGCAGGUCUCCCUGAAAACACCCCCCAGAAAUGCCUGCCAACAUUCAGAGAUGAGGUGGCAAAAGGUGAGACCUUCCAAGACAGAAGACAAAGAGGCAGCCAUGCCUGAGCAAAUGAUUUCCCAUGGUUGCUUCCCUCCCUGGCUACACGGGCCCCUUGGCUAAGAGGUACGGAGCUCAGGAACCUUUUUGCUGGCUGGUUGGCUUCCCUGAGUAAACAUUAAGCCCCACUGCAGCUCGCUGAACAGGUUCCUGCAUAUCGAAGUGUUUAGCAGGUGCACAAUCCGGGCCAGAGCGAACAUACUCAGCACGGCGGGUCCAGCUGCUAGACAAGCUGAUUCUCAAGGUCACAGGAAGAAUCUUGACAGCAUCCUUCUGCGCCCUAGACCACACAGGGCUAAGAGCUGAUGCGCUGCUCUCACCUGCCCGGGUGGAUUCCAGAAUCCCCUCAUGCGUCCGCAGCAACAGGAGGGGAGAAACCAGGGGACUCUGCCCAAGAGCUCGAUGAGACGAGUACAUCCGAUGACAGACGCUUACAUGGUGGCUCCCGGGAAGGUCAUUGCCACUGCACGUCUAGCAAAAGCUAGAGCGUAGUUCCCUGUGCUGUGCAGUAGGUCCGUGUUGAUUAUCUCUUUUCCAUGUCGUCACGUGUAUAUACGUGAAUCUCAAACUCCUAAUUUACACCCCCUCGUCCCCUCUUUGGUAACCAUAUGUUUGUUUUCUAAGCCGAUGAGUUUCUGUUUCGUAAAAAAAAAAAAAAAGUUCGUCUGUAUUAUUGUUUUAGAUUCCACAUAUAAGUGAUAUCAUAUGAUUUCUGUCUCUCUCUGUCUGACUUACUUCCCCUAGUAUGAUAAUUUCAUUAUUCUGUAAUUACCUAUGUGGGAAAAGAAUCUAAAAAAGAAUGGACAUGUGUGUAUGUAUCACUGAGUCACUUUGCUGUACACCUGAAACUAACACAUGAUUCCAAACCACCUAUACACCAAUAUAAAAUGUUUAAAAGACACAACCAUUUACAUGGAAGAAGGAAGAGCCUGGAACAGGCAGCUGCUCAGAGGGUCCCCCACCUGACCCCAGCUACACCUGCAGAGGCCUUGGUGACCAACAGGCAGAUCUGGGUGACGACAUGUCUCACGGUCACCAAGCUUCACGCC
rnacentral:lncRNA from 9 species